UACGUAGGGGGCGAGCGUUGUCCGGAGUUACUGGGCGUAAAGCGCACGCAGGCGGUCUGCUAAGUUUGGAGUGACAGUUGGUGGCUUAACUGCCAAAGUGCUUCGAAAACUGACAGACUUGAGGGCUCCAGAGGGACACGGAAUUCCGGGUGGAGUGGUGAAAUGCGUAGAGAUCCGGAGGAACACCAAAGGCGAAGGCAGUGUCCUGGGGAGUACCUGACGCUCAGGUGCGAAAGCCAGGGGAGCGAACGGG
rnacentral:rRNA from 1 species